GAUGAUUUUUAGGAGAUUAUGGUGUCUGGCUAGAUCACGCUGGCGGCGCGCCUAACACAUGCAAGUCGCACGAGAAAGCGGGAGCAAUCUCGCAAGUAAAGUGGCGUACGGGUGCGUAACACGUGAGCAACCUGCCCCGAAGACUGGGAUAACACCGGGAAACCGGUGCUAAUACCGGAUGCCUUCAUCAUGUCGCAUGGCGAGAUGAAGAAAUGGAUUCCGCUUCGGGAUGGGCUCGCGGCCUAUCAGCUUGUUGGUGGGGUAAUGGCCUACCAAGGCAACGACGGGUAGCUGGUCUGAGAGGAUGUCCAGCCACACUGGGACUGAGACACGGCCCAGACUCCUACGGGAGGCAGCAGUUAGGAAUCUUGCGCAAUGGGCGAAAGCCUGACGCAGCGACGCCGCGUGCGGGAUGACGGCCCUCGGGUUGUAAACCGCUUUCAGCAGGGACGAUUAUGACGGUACCUGCAGAAGAAGCCCCGGCCAACUACGUGCCAGCAGCCGCGGUAAUACGUAGGGGGCAAGCGUUGUCCGGAUUUAUUGGGCGUAAAGAGCUCGUAGGCGGUUUGGUAAGUCGGGUGUGAAAUCUCCACGCUCAACGUGGAGGGGCCACUCGAUACUGCCAUGACUGGAGUCCGGUAGAGGAGUGUGGAAUUCCCGGUGUAGCGGUGAAAUGCGCAGAUAUCGGGAGGAACACCCGUAGCGAAGGCGGCACUCUGGGCCGGAACUGACGCUGAGGAGCGAAAGCGUGGGGAGCAAACAGGAUUAGAUACCCUGGUAGUCCACGCCGUAAACGUUGGGCACUAGGUGUGGGGAUCUAUCGACGGUUUCCGUGCCGAAGCUAACGCAUUAAGUGCCCCGCCUGGGGGAGUACGGCCGCAAGGCUA
rnacentral:rRNA from 1 species